CUCCAGAUCUAGAAUUACAUACAUUACAAGCUCACUGUACGGCUGCCAACUCGUCUCUCUCUGACGGAGCUUUAAGUAUCUACGAAAGUCGUAUCUUAUUACGAGCUAAUUUAUUUUAAACAUCGUAUUUACAGGAGCAAAGCCAAGAUUGUUUCAUGCCAUGGCUGCGAUGAACACUUCGGCUGAAACAGUUUCCCUCGGUGCAUGGCGUGGACCCAAACUUACGUAGAUCGGCUUUAUUGGUAUGCGAGAAAAACAAAUACGGGAUUGCAAGGGAUGGAGAAGAAAGAGGAGGAAAAAAAGCAUCGGAUGAGAGCCUGAAGUUCACAGCUUUGCAGGAGCGGCUCACACGUUUGAUUAGAGUUACGCAAUAUUGAUAGCGCUACCAAAACAGCGACUGUCUGCCACCAUCGGCUCCGCAUGCAAAUUCUGGGCUAAGAAAUGGGAGGUCCUGAUAAUUCAGUGCGGCUCUCGGCUCCUGUUCGAAUUCCUGCUUCAACACCACAAACUUCGGAUGGAGGAGAGAUAAAUACACAAAAAGAACCCAGCGAGAGAGGCACCCGCUACCUCCAACCCCAACUAUUUGUCCUCUCCUAAAGCUGUCAUCGAGCUUCUUGCUUAGGAAGUUCUGCUUGGAAGCAUCUCCCGGACACAUCAUGGAGAGGUUUUGCUCAAAGGGGGAACAGUGCAUGUUGAAGGAGCCGGGCUCCAGGCCGUACCCCGAGGAGUACAUGCCGGGGGGUUGGGGAUGCACGGCGCUGCCGCUGGAGUACAGCCCGGGCAUGGAGGAGGCGAAGGGAGGCGUGGAGCCGGCCCCAUAACCCGUUCGUUGGGUAUUGGAGGCGAAAGCGCAAGAAGUUUGCUCGGGAAAGACUCCGGAUGAGAAAACCGAACUUGCGGCUUGAUAUUUAGAAAAUAAAGCAUUCGCAUAAUACAAUGAACUCAUAAUUUGGCCGGGUGAUUUGUA